GAUGAACGCUAGCUACAGGCUUAACACAUGCAAGUCGAGGGGCAGCAGGAUCUAGCAAUAGAUUGCUGGCGACCGGCGCACGGGUGAGUAACACGUAUCCAACCUGCCGAUAACUCGGGGAUAGCCUUUCGAAAGAAAGAUUAAUACCCGAUGGUAUAAUCAGACCGCAUGGUUUGAUUAUUAAAGAAUUUCGGUUAUCGAUGGGGAUGCGUUCCAUUAGGCAGUUGGUGAGGUAACGGCUCACCAAACCUUCGAUGGAUAGGGGUUCUGAGAGGAAGGUCCCCCACAUUGGAACUGAGACACGGUCCAAACUCCUACGGGAGGCAGCAGUGAGGAAUAUUGGUCAAUGGACGCGAGUCUGAACCAGCCAAGUAGCGUGAAGGAUGACUGCCCUAUGGGUUGUAAACUUCUUUUAUAUGGGAAUAAAGUUUUCCACGUGUGGAAUUUUGUAUGUACCAUAUGAAUAAGGAUCGGCUAACUCCGUGCCAGCAGCCGCGGUAAUACGGAGGAUCCGAGCGUUAUCCGGAUUUAUUGGGUUUAAAGGGAGCGUAGGUGGACAGUUAAGUCAGUUGUGAAAGUUUGCGGCUCAACCGUAAAAUUGCAGUUGAUACUGGCUGUCUUGAGUACAGUAGAGGUGGGCGGAAUUCGUGGUGUAGCGGUGAAAUGCUUAGAUAUCACGAAGAACUCCGAUUGCGAAGGCAGCUCACUGGACUGCAACUGACACUGAUGCUCGAAAGUGUGGGUAUCAAACAGGAUUAGAUACCCUGGUAGUCCACACAGUAAACGAUGAAUACUCGCUGUUUGCGAUAUACAGUAAGCGGCCAAGCGAAAGCAUUAAGUAUUCCACCUGGGGAGUACGCCGGCAACGGUGAAACUCAAAGGAAUUGACGGGGGCCCGCACAAGCGGAGGAACAUGUGGUUUAAUUCGAUGAUACGCGAGGAACCUUACCCGGGCUUAAAUUGCAUUUGAAUAAUCUGGAAACAGGUUAGCCGCAAGGCAAAUGUGAAGGUGCUGCAUGGUUGUCGUCAGCUCGUGCCGUGAGGUGUCGGCUUAAGUGCCAUAACGAGCGCAACCCUUAUCUUUAGUUACUAACAGGUCAUGCUGAGGACUCUAGAGAGACUGCCGUCGUAAGAUGUGAGGAAGGUGGGGAUGACGUCAAAUCAGCACGGCCCUUACGUCCGGGGCUACACACGUGUUACAAUGGGGGGUACAGGAGGCAGCUACCUGGUGACAGGAUGCUAAUCCCAAAAGCCUCUCUCAGUUCGGAUCGAAGUCUGCAACCCGACUUCGUGAAGCUGGAUUCGCUAGUAAUCGCGCAUCAGCCAUGGCGCGGUGAAUACGUUCCCGGGCCU
rnacentral:rRNA from 1 species